GACGAACGCUGGCGGCGUGCUUAACACAUGCAAGUCGAACGGAAAGGCCCAGCUGGCUGUGUUCUCGAGUGGCGAACGUGUGAGUAACACGUGGGUGAUCUCCCCCUAACUUCGGGAUAAGCUUGAGAAACUGGGUCUAAUACCGGAUAGGACAAUCGUGUAGGGUCGGGUGUGGAAAGUUUUUUCGGUUUUGGAUGAGCCCGCGGCCUAUCAGCUUGUUGGUGGGGUAAUGGCCUACCAAGGCGUCGACGGGUAGCCGGCCUGAGAGGGUGGACGGCCAAAUUGGGCCUGAGAACCGGCCAAGCAUCCUCCGGAAGGAAGAGGUGGGAAAUAUUGACCAAUGGGGGAAGGCCUGUUGAAGCGCCGCCGCGUGGGGGAUGCCGGCCUUCGGGUUGUAACCCUCUUUCGCCAGGGCCGAAGCUUUGGUGACGGUACCUGUAUAAGAAGCACCGGCUAACUACGUG
rnacentral:rRNA from 1 species